rfam:TPA: Bos taurus chromosome 1, whole genome shotgun sequence.
UUCUUGAUAGUCCAGUGGUUAGGACUCUGUUCUUCCAUUACAGGAGCCACGGGCUCGAUCCCUGGUUGGGGAA